CCAGGGCAGUAAAAGCAACUAGAGAUAAAGCUGUAAGAGGCUGUGACAGGUCAGUAGUCAAUUGUCUCUGCAAUGAGCAUGUGCUCAAACUAACAUGGAUACUAUCUUGGUCUUCAGCCUAAUCAUUGGAUCCUAUGAUGCCAACAAGAAAGAUGUCAGAGAUAGCAGUUGCCAAGUGGAACAGCUGCCUGGGCACUUCCCAAAGGAUGUGCGAAGCAUCAGGAAUUUGCUAAUCCAAGAAACUCACACAGAAACUAAAACAUUCAUCCAAAAUCAGACUGUGGCUACCCUGCAGUGCUUUGGCUCUGGGAGCAAAGUGAAAAUCAGCCACGUGUAUUUGGUGAGAAAGCCAAAAGUCAAGCAUAUUCUGAAGAACCUGAAAAUCAUUGCUGUUCCCCGCAGAAACAGCUCUGCCUCCCCAACCUGUCACCUAACCCCUACAUUCAAGUUUCCAACUAGAUCCCUUCUAACAGGCAAAGCUUUUUUACCAGGAAUCUCCCAAUGUAAGGUCUAUCCAGAGAUGGGGGCUUCAUCAGAGACUUUCCCCACCUCUCCCAACUCCAUUACUCCUGGGAAUAAAAGAGAAAAAACUACCACUAUAGACAUAGAUGAAAACCUCAAGAAGAGGCAGAAAUGGAGUAUUGUGAUCAAAAUUGUAAUUGCUUUCAUCCUUCUGCUCACUGGAGUCUCCAUUAUAAUAUUUGUAAUUUUUGAAGUUCCAUGUCCUUGUCAAUGCGUAAGAGCCAGGAAGCUGUGCCAGCGUCAGUGGUGGUGGAGAAGGCAAAGGCAGGGAGGCCAGAAACCUGGGACAGCUGAAUCCCAACCUGACUCUCAGCCUGAGAAGGAAAGUGCUUUCUGUGUGGUUUAUAUCAUUUGCUUAGAGACAACAGGGUUAACAUAUAAGUGACGGGAGAUAGGCAACUGCUUCAGUUAUGAAGAAAAAGUGAAUGAUUCUUUUAUACAUCAUAAAAUGGAAAUUUAUGUUUUCUUUUUCUUUUCCUUUUAUUUUCUGGUUGUAGUUUGGCUAGGGCCAGGUUUGAACGCACCAACCUUGGUAUAUGAGGCUAGCACUCUACUCACUGAGCCACAGGCACCACCCCAAGAAAAUUAUUUUUUUUAUUUUUUGAGACAGAGCCUCAAGCUGUCACCCUGAGUAGAAUGCCGUGGCAUCACACCUCACAGCAACCUCCAAUUCCUGGGUUCAAGCGAUUCUCCUGCCUCAGCCUCCCAAGUAGCUGGGACCACAGGUGCCCACCACAACGCCCAGCUAUUUUUCGGUUGCAGCCAUCAUUGUUGUUUGGCGGGCCCUGGCUGGAUUCGAACCCACCAUCUCAGGUGUAUGUGGCUGGCGCCUUAGUCGCUUGAGGUUGGACAAGAUGCUCGCUACACAUCAAACCCAAAGGAAGCUACAAGGAUCACUGUUAUCCACGAGACACACUUCUGAAAAGUCCUGCUCUGCCUCACACAUUGAACGAAUGACUCUACACUCUCUUCUCCCUGUUAAUC